rnacentral:lncRNA from 1 species
GGAUUCCCUAUGAUUUCAUGGACAAAAUUGAAAGCUUGACGAAAGAGCAUUACAAGAAAUGCAUGGAGCAAAGGUUUAGGGAAUUGGUGGCAAGCAAGGCCCUUGAGGGUCUCCAGGCUGAGGUUACUGAUAUGGACUGGGAAAGUACCUUCUAUUUGCGCCAUCUCCCUGAAUCCAACAUGGCUGAAAUCCCAGAUCUAACCGAUGAAUACAGGAAGGUGAUGAAAGAAUUUGCAUUGAAAUUGGAGAAACUAGCAGAGGAGCUGCUGGACUUGUUCUGUGAGAACCUUGGGCUCGAGAAAGGGUACCUCAAAAAGGCUUUCUAUGGGGAAAAAGGUCCGACCUUUGGCACCAAAGUUAGCAACUACCCACCAUGCCCCACCCCAGAUAAAAUCAAGGGACUCAGAGCCCACACGGACGCCGGUGGCAUCAUCUUGCUGUUCCAAGACCCCCAAGUGGGCGGCCUUCAGCUUCUUAAAGACGGGGAAUGGGUGGAUGUUCCCCCCUUGCGCCACUCCAUUGUCAUCAACCUCGGGGACCAGCUGGAGGUGAUCACCAACGGCAAAUACAAGAGCGUGGAGCAUAGGGUGAUUGCCCAAACCGACGGUGCUCGGAUGUCGAUAGCUUCGUUCUACAAUCCCGGCAGCGACGCCGUUAUCUACCCGGCGCCAGCCCUGGUGGAGAAAGAAGAAGAAGAAGAGAAGAAAGGAUUGUACCCAAAAUUUGUGUUCGAAGAUUACAUGAAGCUUUACGCUUUGCUUAAAUUCCAGGCCAAGGAACCGAGGUUUGAAGCCAUGAAAGCCAUUGCAACAGCUUAAAAAAUGGAAGUUAAUCUACACCCUAAAAGUCCUUAACCAUAUAUGUACCAACCUGGAAAUCUUAUCGUUGUAAUUUUGGACCACUUCAUUAAUUGUUGGGGGUAAUAUAUAUUGCUACUUCAAUAAUUCCAUCCUUCAUACAGUUUCUACGUUAAACUCUAAAAUAUCUAAUUAUUCUUUUGAUGAUUGGUAUUGAUUUCAUUUACUUGGAUCUGCAAAACUUAAUGCCAUGAAAUUGAUUGAAUAGUUGGCGAAACAAUUGUUGCAAUUUUUGUUUUUACAUUUUAACUUACCAUGCUACCAACUCCAUCCUUUUUAAGCAUAACUCACAGAUGUAGGAUUAUAAACCCCCACUGUCUCCUCCUUUUUCUUUUAUUAUUUCAUACUUCAAUUUUGUACAUCCACAAACAUAUAUGUUUUUUGAACCAACAUUUCUAGCCAAUCAAAUUUCACAAAACCACUCCUCAAACUACCAAAAUUCAUUGAAUAAAACCCACAACUCUGAUUAAUUUCAAAAUUCAAGUUACCAAAUGUUACUUACAUGAAAACUAACCCUACACGUUGUGUAUUGCUAAUGGCUACAAGUCUAAAUAAAAUAAUUGGGAUUUUCUCUAACCUACGUAAUGGGUGAUCAACUCAAGCCUAAACUAAACAUAGAAAUUAAUUUCCAGUUUAAUGAAUAACAUAGGUAGAAAAACACAAAUUCAAACCAAAUUUAAUUAAAAGAAGCCCCACAAUUAGUAAUUAUUGUUUUGGAGUUGUAAUAAAAUUUUUAUCCGACAUGCUUUACUAACAUGAUGAUAUGGGCUACAAAUAUCCAUUAAUAGAUGUAAUUCUUGAUGCAUUGGAAAGCUGACCAACAAAGCUACCGGUCAUAUGGAGAGUGUUUGGUCUAAUUCCCCGGAGGUCAAAUACUUAAGUUCAUCUAACCUCGUACGUUGGUACGAUGGUUAGGGUGUUUACCGUCUCAAAUGUAAGCUGGGUUCGAGUUGUGCUAAUCGCUUAUAAUUCACCAUAAAGAGAAAAACUUAAGUUCACCCAAAAUAAGUGUAUAUGAAGAUGAGAAUUUUAUCUCUCAAUAUAAUACUAAAAUUGUCCGCUCAAUAUCCAUUUAUGAAAACGGAACACAUUUCAUGAUCAUCACGUAGAUAUUUUAAUUACAACAAAAAAAAAAUUGAAUAACAAACACCCAAACUAUAAUUGAUAAUUAGUUUAAAUCGUAAGCAUGUUACUAACAAAUUUUUAGAGGUGAUUGAUUCAAGAUAGUUUGGGUGCAUAAUGUUUUUUCUCAAAUGAAUUAAUUAGUUAUGGGUUGAAAGUUAUGAGCAUAUUAAUAACUUAAAAAUAUUAGUUCGGUAAGAUUUAAUAUGAUUUUUAUUUAACCUAUAUAUUAAUAAACUAUCAAAAUUAUAAAAGUGCGAAUUUUGAAAAAAAAAGUAUUUAAAUGAGAACCAUAAUAUUCAUAAAGGACAUAAGGAAUUAUGAAUGAUCUAAAUCACUAAAAAAAUGUUAAAUUGUGUUGAAUUUAGGUAUAAUUAUUUAUAAUUAUAUAUGUGAAGCAUAUUUGCAUAACCAUAGUAAUUAGUGGAUCAUACUGAAUUAUGAUUACACUCUCCAAUUGUUGGAGGAUGGUGAGAAUAUUUGAAGUAAUUAUGCAUGUAAUUACAAACAAUUACAUUCAAAUGGGAGUAAUUACGUGGGAAUAUAUUUUAUUUUUAUAAUAUAAUUAAUAUACUAAUCUCAUUUAAAUAGUCUAAAAAGUUUUAUUAACCGAAGAUCCUUUUUUAGACAUGUUGAUGUAGUAAAUAUUUAAAUAAAUUACAUAGUAUCUAUUAUUUAUUUAUAUGUGGACAAAGACUAAUUGAGGAUGACAAGGAGUAUAUGUUUAAUAUUAGAGAGGGAAUAAUAACCCAACAAAUAUGGAAUGCUAAAUUGCUUAGACAAAAAAAAAUUAUAAAAUAUUUAUUUUUCAUGUUAAUUUUAUUAAAAUUGUAUAAAAAAAUACUUUUUUGGACUAACAUAUUACAUUUAAAGACUUCAAUUUUAAGUAGAAUUUUUCCUCAAGUAUUAUUGAUAAUAUUUUAUAACAGUUAGUAUUAUUUUUUAGAAUUUCAAAUUAUAAAAUUGUAUAAUUACAUUUUAUAUUACCAUUACCAAAUAUGAAAAAGAUAAUUACUUCGAUUCAAUUAGGUGUUCACGUAACAAAAUAAAUAAUUAAACAAACAAUUAAUAAAGAGUGUGGAUGACCAAGAACUAUAGAAUUUGCUGAUUAAAUGAACCGACGGGAAUGAUGGACAUGUCUCAUUUGGGGCUUAAAAUAAUUUUAUUUUAAUUCGAAUUAAUUAUUAUUCAAUAAAUGUAUUUGUUUUAUUUUGGUUAUUAAAAUGUGUAUUUGUAUAAAUAAUAAUUCAUGAAACUUUCAAUUUCAUUAAAGGGCUUUGAAAAAAAAAAAAAAAUGUCCCCACCACCUUUGGAACUCACCUUGCCGACCUCCAUGCACAUGCACAUGCACUUGCACUUCAAUUAUUUUAUAUAAAAUAAUUAGUUAUGAAUUUGAAUGCAUACAAUCAUUAUCCUAAACUAACUACAUUUUGAUACCUUUUUAACUGUCUCCCACAACCUGAUAUAUAAAAGGAAACAUUGCCUUUGAUUUCAUCUAUACAUCUUUUACCAUUAUUUAAUAAUUGAUACAUCAUUGCCAAGUUGCCAACCCAUCUCUCUUUGUUUUAUUGGUUAAGGUGAGUGCUUUGAAUCCUUACAAAUUUCUCUCAUAUUUGUUCUUUUUAACAUCAUGCUUAAAAUUAUUUAUAGCCUCUCCUCAAUCUAUAAAUAAAAGGGCAAUGCAGUUCACCACACUUGAACCCUCAUCUUUUUAUAUUAACAAUAAUGCACAUUCCAAUUAAGCUAAUACUCAAUUGACAAAUUUAAGUUCAAAUUUUAAUGUGUGUAAUUGCAAGAUACAAAUCUCCAAUCUUAUCGUGUGUAUUUCAUAUAUGAAUUUUGUCUAUUUUUUUUCAAUUUUUCAUCUAAUUUACUUUACAAAAAAUUAAUUUUACACGAUAAUUACUCAAAAAUAUAUAUUAUCCAUGAAUUUGAUUAUCCAUUGAAGGCCAACACAAUAAAUGAAGCGUUCUCAAAUAGGGGUGAGCAAAACUCGAUUCGACUCGAAAAAAUUAAAAAAAAGAAUUCGAAUUUCGAGUUAAACGAAUCAAGUUAUUUGAGUUAAUCGAGUUAUUUUUUUGAAUUUCGAGUUCGAAUCGAGUUGAGUUUUCGAAUUCGAAUCACUCAAAUAAUUCGAGUAAUUCAAAUAUCAAACUAUAAUAUUUUAUAUUUUUACCCCAAGCUCUCAAACCUUUUUAUUUUUCCCUCAAAAACUUUUACUCCUUCCCACUUUCCCCCCAAAACUUUUACUCCCCUCCCAUCCCAACCCCCCAUCUACCCAAAAUCCAUUUCCCACCAAAAUUUUACUCCCAAAACCCCUCAAAAAUUUUUAUUUUCCCCCAAAAUUUUUACUCCCUUCCCAUCCCACCCCCCAUCUACCCCAAACACACCCCCCAAUUUUUUUUAAAUAUUUUCCCUCCAAAAUUUUAAACUUUUACUCCCCAAAACUUUUUAUUUUCCCCCUAAACUUUUACUUCUCACCCUUUAUUCCCAAAUAAAAAAUCAAAAUUAUCCAAAAACAUCUUUAAACAUAAAUAGUAAUACUUUUAUUUAUAUAUACUAUUUAUAUUAUUAAAUUAAAUUUCACAUUUUAUAUUAUUUAUAUUAUUGAAUUGUUUAGUCAUAUUGAAUAUUUAUAUUAAAAUUGAAUUAUUAAUGAUGCCAUAAAAUAUUUGUGUUAAAAUUUUAUAUUGGUAUCAAUUUCACAUUUCAUAUUUAAAAUAACUUUUACUAAAAAAUCACAUUUUUACAUUUAAUAUAUUUUUUUAAUUCCAAAAGACAUAGUGACAAGAAUCUGAAGAUAAUUGAAACAACUAAGCAAGUAAAGAAGCUAACUCGUAUAUAAAAGAUUAAUAAAUAAAUUAUGAGGUGAUGAAAGUUAAUAAAAAAUUUAAUUAUGGUGGACAAAUUUUAUUAUGAUGAGUGACAGUGAUUACAAGGACCUAAAAUUGUUUUUUAAAAUUUAACUUGAACAAAUAUAUUCGAUUCGAUUCAAAUUUCAUUUCACUCGACUCGAUUCGAGAAAAUUUCAAAUCAAAUGAGGAUGAUAAAAUAUAAUUCAUCAACUCGAUUAACUUGAAUUUUUUUCAUUCGAUUUGAUCGAAUGCUCACCCUUACCCUCAAAAGAGUCGAAGGCAACCGAACAUAAGACCCCUAAACAGUAAGCUGAGAACAUAGAAAACCGAAUUUGGUAACUAAGUGAGCUGUACAAACAUGUGGUGAGGUAUUGUUAUUUUAUGAUUAAGAUAGAUCAUGCACAUAGUGUCCACAAUAUAAUUUUUAAUUUAACAAAAGUACAUAUAUAAAAGAAAUAAACUUGUUAUUUUAGCUUUCAAGCAAAAGAACAAAGAAAAAAAAAAGAAAAAGGUGGCUGCUAAAUUUUUUUUUAAUUGAGAGGGAGGAAUUUUCAAGGCUCCUUGAAUAAAUAAAUAAAAAACUAAUUUAAAUGUUAUAAAUUUGAACGGGUUAAAAAUGAGAUUUUCUUAGAAAGAUUCUUCUAGAAUUGUUUUUGUAUUUUGGCAACAAAUUUAUUAUAUGAGUAGAGUUUUUAGAGUAUAAGGUGAAAUAUGUUGUAUUUAAAAUAAAAGGAAAGGAUAGUAUUUAACUCUGCGUGUAAAAUAUCCUAUUCCUUGGGAGACAUUUAAGACAUGUGAAACACGAAUAUAUUUUACUUGUCAAUUUUUGUCUAUGAACUCCGCGUUUUUGCCUAACAACGACGACAUGGCGGCUAACAAUAGGCCCCUUUUUUGGCUGAAUGCCACAUUUUAUAUAUUAAUUCAAACAUACAUUCUUAAAUAAAUUUAAGAGUCAAGCUUUCUUACUUAUAAAAUUUAACUAUAACUUAUCUUGUAUUACAAUUUGACAUUUACUUUUGCUUUUUAAUGUUUGAAAUCAAAUUUUCAAUUCUUGUUCUUUUCAAAUAUGAAAUAGUUAUGGAAUGAGUUUCAUGAUGUGUCAAUCUCUUUCAAUUUUGUUUUUUUUUUACUAAUUACGUCAUUAAAUGAACAAAAAUAGAAUUUAAUUAAAGAAUUUUUUUCCAAGAUCGGAAUUAUAAUUGGAUAGGAGGGACUAAAGGUUUGAUAUUAAAAUUUUUUUAAAAUAAAUCGUAUUUGUUUAGGAAAAUCAAUUUUGAAUCAACAAUUUAAGAAAAAUCGAUUGACAUUGGUAUUGUUGUCAAUACAUAAGGACGUGGGUUCGAGUACGCUGAAGCGCAUUAUCUUCUUAUUUAUAAGUUGGGAGCGGCUAUAGUAAUUUUAGUCAUUGUGUAAAACAAAAAAAUAUGUAAUCAGAAUCUAUAAUAAAAUUAUUAACAAAAAUAUAUUUUUUAACCAAAUAAAUAUAACAUAAAUUUAGUUGACGGUGGAACGGAAUGAAAUUGCUGAUACUUAAAUUUUGGUCAAAAUUAACAAGAAAGAAGUGACUCUUUUAGAGUCAUCAAAAUGUGUGUCCAAAUGCCAACAAUGGACCCAAAGGACCAAAGAGUUGAUAGUUACUUCAAUAAGGCAAUUCAAUUUUAGCAUAGAUUUAACCCCCCAACAUUUGUUUGAAUUUCUUUUAUUUAAAAUAAUUAGAAAUCAUUGAUUAAUUAAAACUUUAAUCAAUUCAACAUAAAAAAUAGAUAAAAAAAAUUGAAAUUGUGACAAAUUUAAAUAUAAUCACUAGAAAAGUCGUAAUUAAUUUGUGACAAAAAUAGAUUAAAAUGCAAUUUUCAUAAAUAUAUUCAUUGUAUACCCAUCUAAAUAUUUUAUCUUAUUAUUUUGCUUUCAAUCACACCUCUUUGUAAAGUAGGUUAUGAUUUAAAAAAAAUUGAAUUUAAAUUGUAAACUUUUUAAAUAUCACAUUUAAUUAAGAAAUGAUUUUAAAAUUGGAGUUAUGCAUGUACUAAUAGUAGUAUUAUUUUCCAAUUUUCCUCCUCGCUUCCUUUGUUAAUUUGUUGAUACCAUUAAUUUUUGACCCACAAGCCGACAUCCUCUUGAAUUAUAUACCUAUAAACCUCACUUGUAACUAUCUAUAAAUAGCCCCAUACCCCUUUCCUCCAUUCUGCAUUAAACAAAUCUAAGCUUUUGCAUAAUAACAUCCCCACCGUAAACAGCCUCACUCUGAGAGUUGUUUAGAAAAAAAAUAAAGUGGUAAGAGAAAUGGCAAAAUUCCCAGUGAUCAACUUGGAGAAACUGAAUGGUGAGAGAGCAGCAACCAUGGAUCUAAUCAAAGAUGCCUGUGAGAAUUGGGGCUUCUUUGAGGUACCGAUUGCUACUUUAUAUGUAUAUAUACUCUAUUCUCCUUGGUAGAUUUUUGCUAAUUAUUAGCGUGGUUCAUUUGGUGCAGGUGUUGAACCAUGGGAUUCCCUAUGAAUUUAUGGACAGAGUGGAAAGCUUGACGAAGGAGCAUUACAAGAAAUGCAUGGAGCAAAGGUUUAAGGAACUGGUGGCAAGCAAGGCCCUUGAGGGUCUCCAGGCUGAGGUUACUGAUAUGGACUGGGAAAGUACCUUCUAUUUGCGCCAUCUCCCUGAAUCCAACAUGGCUGAAAUCCCAGAUCUAACCGAUGAACACAGGAAGGUGAUGAAAGAAUUUGCGUUGAAAUUGGAGAAACUAGCAGAGGAGCUGCUGGACCUGUUCUGUGAGAACCUUGGUCUAGAAAAAGGAUAUCUGAAAAAGGCUUUCUAUGGGGCAAAAGGUCCCACCUUUGGCACCAAAGUUAGCAACUACCCACCAUGUCCCACCCCAGACAAAAUCAAGGGACUCAGAGCCCACACGGACGCCGGUGGCAUCAUCUUG